rnacentral:rRNA from 1 species
UACGAAGGGGGCUAGCGUUGCUCGGAAUCACUGGGCGUAAAGCGCACGUAGGCGGCUUUUUAAGUCAGGGGUGAAAUCCUGGAGCUCAACUCCAGAACUGCCUUUGAUACUGAGAGCUUGAGUCCGGGAGAGGUGAGUGGAACUCCGAGUGUAGAGGUGAAAUUCGUAGAUAUUCGGAAGAACACCAGUGGCGAAGGCGGCUCACUGGCCCGGUACUGACGCUGAGGCGCGAAAGCUGGGGGAGCGAACGGGG